rnacentral:tRNA from 1 species
GCCCGCGGUCGCGGACGCGUUCUGCGCCGCGCGUCUCGGCGGCGAGGGGGGCGCGGCGUUCGGAACGCUGCCGCGGGCG